AUUGAACGCUGGCGGCAGGCCUAACACAUGCAAGUCGAGCGAGCGGCGGACGGGUGAGUAAUGUCCGGGAAACUGCCUGAUGGAGGGGGAUAACUACUGGAAACGGUAGCUAAUACCGCAUACCAUCAGAUGUGCCCAGAUGGGAGUAGAGAGUAGGUGGGGUAAGGGCUCACCUAGGCGACGAGCCCUCGCUGGUCUGAGAGGAUGACCAGCCAACCUGGACCUGGGACACGGUCCAGACUCCCACGGUAGCCAGCAUGGGGGAAUAUGGCACAAUGGGCGCAAGCUUGAUGCAGCAAUGCCGGGGGGGUGAAGAGGGCCUUCGGGUUGAAAAGCACGUGCAGCGGGGAGGCGUUACCCGCAGAAGAAGCACCGGCUAACUCCGUGCCAGCAGCCGCGGUAAUAC
rnacentral:rRNA from 1 species